GAUGAACGCUGGCGGCGUGCCUAAUACAUGCAAGUCGAGCGAACAGACGAGGAGCUUGCUCCUCUGACGUUAGCGGCGGACGGGUGAGUAACACGUGGAUAACCUACCUAUAAGACUGGGAUAACUUCGGGAAACCGGAGCUAAUACCGGAUAAUAUAUUGAACCGCAUGGUUCAAUAGUGAAAGACGGUUUUGCUGUCACUUAUAGAUGGAUCCGCGCCGCAUUAGCUAGUUGGUAAGGUAACGGCUUACCACGGCGACGAUGCGUAGCCGACCUGCGAGGGUGAUAGGCCACACUGGAGCGGAGACACGGUCCAGAGUCCUACGGGAGGCAGCAGUAGGGAAUCGGCCGCAAUGGGCGAAAGCCUGACGGAGCAACGCCGAGUGAGUGAUGAAGGUCUUCGGAUCGUAAAACUCUGUUAUUAGGGAAGAACAAAUGUGUAAGUAACUAUGCACGUCUUGACGGUACCUAAUCAGAAAGCCACGGCUAACUACGUG
rnacentral:rRNA from 1 species